rnacentral:rRNA from 1 species
UACGUAGGGUGCGAGCGUUGUCCGGAAUUAUUGGGCGUAAAGAGCUUGUAGGCGGUUUGUUGCGUCGGCUGUGAAAUCCCGAGGCUCAACCUCGGGUCUGCAGUCGAUACGAGCAAACUAGAGUGUUGCAGGGGAGACUGGAAUUCCUGGUGUAGCGGUGAAAUGCGCAGAUAUCAGGAGGAACACCGGUGGCGAAGGCGGGUCUCUGGGAAACAACUGACGCUGAGGAGCGAAAGCGUGGGGAGCGAACAGG